GUGCCAGCAGCCGCGGUAAUACGAAGGGGGCUAGCGUUGCUCGGAAUGACUGGGCGUAAAGGGCGCGUAGGCGGUGAACACAGUUAGGCGUGAAAUUCCCGGGCUCAACCUGGGGGCUGCGUUUAAUACAUGUUCGCUUGAGUUCGGAAGAGGGUCGUGGAAUUCCCAGUGUAGAGGUGAAAUUCGUAGAUAUUGGGAAGAACACCGGUGGCGAAGGCGGCGACCUGGUCCGAUACUGACGCUGAGGCGCGAAAGCGUGGGGAGCAAACAGGAUUAGAUACCCUAGUAGUCC
rnacentral:rRNA from 1 species